UGAAAGCCAAUCUGAUGGAGAGUGGUAUUCUUGAAGAUACCACUGGGGCAGCCUCUGCUGAGGACUCGCCGUCUCCCCGAUAUGUUACAAUUACCGCUCCAUCGGUUAGUCCUAGUAGUCUUCUUUUUGAACAGCAGAAAGAGCUGCUUCUGUUACAGCUAGAGCAUGAUCGUGUAAAAUAUGAGAAGGAAUUGGAAUUUAAACAGGAUAUGGAGCGUGCUGAUCGGUUAAAAUAUGAAAAGGAAUUGGAAUUUAAACAGGAUAUGGAGCGUGCUAAAAUCAAGCUGCAACAAGAGCGACUAGAGUUGGUUAGGAAAGGAAAGCUCUCAGGGGAGAGUUUGCUCUGGGAAGGUGAUGCAGAUUUACUUAGGAGUCGUUCCUCUUUUGGUCGUGCCCCGGACACAUUUGACAUUGUUGGGAAUUUACGGUUGUUGCCUCAGUUUAAUGAAAAGGACCCUGAGACGUUCUUCUCGUUGUUUGAGCGUGUUGCUGACGCUAGGAGUUGGCCUGAUUCUGACCGCACUUUAAUGUUGCAGUGUGUGCUGACUGGUAAAGCGCAGGAAGCAUAUUCAGCUCUUAUUGUAGCCGACAGUGUCAGUUAUGAUAAGGUUAAAAUGGCGGUGUUACAGAUUUACGAAUUGGUUCCUGAGGCUUACCGCCAACGAUUUAGAACUUUAGAAAGGGAUGAUAGGCAGACUCAUGUUGAGUUUGCGCGAAAAUUAUCUUCACAGUUUAAUCGCUGGUGUUCCGCCUCUGCGGUUAUGACUUUUCAAGGGCUGUGUGAUCUGAUUAUGCUAGAGCAAUUUAAGGACACAAUCCCUGGUCAUAUAGCGACGUAUAUUAACGAACGAAAAGUAAAGACUGUCGCUGAAGCUGAGGUUUUGGCGGACAAAUAUGUUUUGACUCACAAAAGUGUUUUUGUAGAACCCCGUACUUGGAGUGAGUGGGGGCGUUCGGAGAGAUUUGGGCCUCGCUCACCGAGAUACUCUGGUUCACGGGCAGAGUUUUAUUCAACUAGGGUUGAGCCUGACUCCCGUGGUAAAACUGACUUUGGUCAAGAGUGUCACUACUGUCAAGGCUCAGGUCAUUGGAAAAACGAAUGUCCGGUUCUCAGGUCUAGGGGUAAAUUCAGUACGUGUGUUAACG
rnacentral:lncRNA from 8 species